GGGGAAACUGAGGCACUGACAGAGAAAAUGCCGUUAGGAGAGCCCGGAGGAGUUGGCAGGGGAGAUCUUAGUUCCCUGAGGAGGGGUUGAACCUGCACCCCCUAUGGUGGAACCUCAGAGUGCUAACCACUGGAUCACCAGGCAAGUCCCACAGGCCGCAGCAUUUGUGAAUUAACAAGUUCUCAUCAGGCAAGAGAACUGUUUGCUGAUUGCCCCUCCACCUGAUUGCCUUCGACAUUUAAGAUUUAUCUCUUGUGCACCUACUGUGUGUCUGGCAUUGGACACAGCUGUGAUGAAAAGAGCUUGUGCGAAGACUCAAGGCCUAAUAAGGAUUCAGGAUUAGACGUAAGAGACAGGGAUUCGCUCCCUGGGUAGAAAAGAUCCCCAUGAGGAGGGCAUGGCAACCCACUUCAGUAUUCCUGCCUGGAGAAUCCCCAUGGACAGAGGAGCCUGGCGAGCGACAGUCCAUAGGAU
ensembl:lncRNA